rnacentral:lncRNA from 1 species
CGGAAUAACUGGAGGCACUUAGCACGAUAGGCGCAUGCUUGCAGAAGAAGCCACAACCGAGUUCCUAACCAAAGCGCAAUAGUGGGAUCGGGAUAAGGUUUUGGUGAAGAGGUCUUGGAGGAAGGAGGGUGGGUUUCUGAACAUGUUGUCAAGCAUGGCUGAGGGAAAUUGAAGGGAAGAGCAUACACCAGUGUUGAAGAAUU